UUUUUAUUUAUUUAUUUAUUUUGAAAAGCUUCAAUCAAUCCAUCUUGUCCAAAACCUCAUUGCAGCGCAUGGGAGGGAAGAAGAAAUGGAGAACGGAGAAAGCAUCAUUUGAAAUAGUGACAUUAUUGUAGUACGUAUGUGGAAGCGGAAUAAAAAAUGGUGGACAAAAUAAUGGAUCGACGCUCUUUUUGAUUUCACAGCCUCAGAAUUUUCCUUCGGCAAUACAAAAUAUCCAUCCACAUCCAUCUUUAUGAACAUUUCAACCACCAAUUUAAAUAAAAAAAGAUA
rnacentral:misc_RNA from 1 species